UGGGGGAUAUUGCACAAUGGGCGAAAGCCUGAUGCAGCGACGCCGCGUGGGGGAUGAAGGCCUUCGGGUUGUAAACUUCUUUUGCUCUGAACAAGGCGCACCAUGGGGUGUGUUGAGUGUAGGGGUUGAUUAGCCCCGGCUAACUACGUGCCAGCAGCCGCGGUAAUACGUAGGGCGCGAGCGUUGUCCGGAAUUAUUGGGCGUAAAGGGCUUGUAGGUGGCUGGUUGCGUCUGUCGUGAAAGCUCAUGGCUUAACUGUGGGUUUGCGGUGGGUACGGGCUGGCUUGAGUGCAGUAGGGGAGGCUGGAAUUCCUGGUGUAGCGGUGGAAUGCGCAGAUAUCAGGAGGAAUACCGGUGGCGAAGGCGGGUCUCUGGGCUGUUACUGACACUGAGGAGCGAAAGCAUGGGGAGCGAACAGG
rnacentral:rRNA from 1 species